rnacentral:lncRNA from 1 species
ACCAUCACUGCCUGUUCUCUGGGUCUCUGCUGAGCCACUAGUAAAGCCAGCAGGAUAGUAUGAAGCCCAGUGACUUCCACAGCUGGAGCACAAGAGAGAAUUGCUCAGCCAGAGAAGCCUGUAACAUAGUUUAGAGGAAAAACAUUUACUUUGUCUUACAGUCAGUUCUGUCGAUUUACUGGUAGGCAGUCUCUGAAGUGUCAAGAAAUGUGUGCGUAUUGCCAGCUGUAGCUGUUGCUCCUCCAUAUUUGUAUGUAGCAAAACCUCCUUAUACCCACAAAAUGAAGGUCCUGAAGUUUAAUCUGAAGGAACAGAUACUUCCCUACUUCCAUUCAAUGCAGC